rnacentral:rRNA from 1 species
UACGGAGGGAGCUAGCGUUGUUCGGAAUUACUGGGCGUAAAGCGCACGUAGGCGGCUUUGUAAGUUAGAGGUGAAAGCCUGGGGCUCAACCCCAGAAUUGCCUUUAAGACUGCAUCGCUUGAAUCCGGGAGAGGUGAGUGGAAUUCCGAGUGUAGAGGUGAAAUUCGUAGAUAUUCGGAAGAACACCUGUGGCGAAGGCGCCUUGCUGGCCGAUUUCUGACGCUGAGGCGCGAAAGCGUGGGGAGCAAACAGG